rnacentral:rRNA from 1 species
GGGAAUCUGCCCUUUGGUUCGGAAUAACAGUUGGAAACGACUGCUAAUACCGGAUGAUGACGAAAGUCCAAAGAUUUAUCGCCAGAGGAUGAGCCCGCGUAGGAUUAGCUAGUUGGUGUGGUAAAGGCGCACCAAGGCGACGAUCCUUAGCUGGUCUGAGAGGAUGAUCAGCCACACUGGGACUGAGACACGGCCCAGACUCCUACGGGAGGCAGCAGUGGGGAAUAUUGGACAAUGGGCGAAAGCCUGAUCCAGCAAUGCCGCGUGAGUGAUGAAGGCCUUAGGGUUGUAAAGCUCUUUUACCCGGGAUGAUAAUGACAGUACCGGGAGAAUAAGCUCCGGCUAACUCCGUGCCAGCAGCCGCGGUAAUACGGAGGGAGCUAGCGUUGUUCGGAAUUACUGGGCGUAAAGCGCACGUAGGCGGCUUUGUAAGUUAGAGGUGAAAGCCUGGAGCUCAACUCCAGAACUGCCUUUAAGACCGCAUCGCUUGAAUCCAGGAGAGGUGAGUGGAAUUCCGAGU